UGCGGUGGCGAUAGCAAGAAGGAUACACCUGUUCCCAUGCCGAACACAGAAGUUAAGCUUCUUAACGCCGAUAGUAGUUGGGGGAUCGCCCCCUGUGAGGGUAGGAAGCUGCCGUGC
rfam:Lactobacillus ghanensis DSM 18630 NODE_68, whole genome shotgun sequence.